UACAGAGGGUGCGAGCGUUGUCCGGAAUCACUGGGCGUAAAGGGCGCGUAGGCGGCUUGUCAAGUCACUUGUGAAAUCUCUGGGCUUAACCCAGAACGGCCAAGUGAAACUGACAGCUAGAGUGCAGAAGGGGCAAUCGGAAUUCUUGGUGUAGCGGUGAAAUGCGGUAGAUAUCAAGAGGAACACCUGAGGUGAAGACGGGUUGCUGGGCUGACACUGACGCUGAUGCGCGAAGCCGGGGAGCAAACGGG
rnacentral:rRNA from 1 species